GAUGAAGAACGUAGCGAAAUGCGAUAAGUAAUGCGAAUUGCAGAAUUUCCGUGAGUCAUCGAAUCUUUGAACGCACAUUGCGCCCUUUGGUAUUCCGAAGGGCAUGCCUGUUCGAGCGUCAUUAUCACAGCUCAAACCCCGGGUUUGGUGUUGGACCAACGUUGGGUCAACCGACUGGUCUCAAAGACAAUGACGGCGUCCGUGGGACCCUCAGUGCAUCGAGCUUUCAUAAGCACGCAUUGAGUUGCAAGGACCUUCCGGGCCGGUCUACUUUUACAUCUUCUGAAAGUUGACCUCGGAUCAGGUAGGAAUACCCGCUGAACUUAAGCAUAUCAAUAAGCGGAGGA
rnacentral:misc_RNA from 1 species